ACAACCUUACUUGAACAGGAUCUGUUUUAUAAGCUUGUACCUCUGUGUCCUUGAGUUUCAAGGAGACAAGAACCACAGCUUGGUGGAUGACUUAUGACCAGGUGAUCAGAGCGUGAUUAUUGGUGUUGGUUGCCCAAUCUUGUGCUCAACCUGGCUCUGAUACCACGUG